CUGGAUAUAGCAGAGGUCUACCGAUAGCUUUCGAAAUCUUGAAACAAAUAUAUGAUUUUAGGCACAUAAAUCUGCGAUUGCAAUGGGUUCCUUCUCAUAUAGGCCUAAGAGGAAACGAGGAGGCUGAUAAACUAGCGAAAUCGGCAAUAAAUGUUGGUAAAGAAUUGUCCAUUGUACCAUUUUUUACAGAAAUUUUAAAUAGUUUUAAAAAUAAAUGUUGUGAUAAAUUUAAGGAAUACUUUGAUAUAAGAAGUAGGGAAAAAGGAAUUUGGUAUAAAACUAUCCAAUGUCAGCCUCCUCGUUUCCCUUGGUUUGGUAAUACUUGUUUAAGUAGAAAAUAUAUAUCUAUUAUUGAUGUAUUUCUGCAUAGGCAGUAAUAUCUCUCCACUUGUAUCUGUUGCAUUCCACGAUGUUAUUUAGAAUGUAAUUUAGGUUACGAUGGGGCUGGCGUGUCCGUGUCGGACAAAAGUCCCAGAAAAAUAAAGAU